GACGAACGCUGGCGGCGUGCUUAACACAUGCAAGUCGAACGGAAAGGCCCUGCUUUUGUGGGGUGCUCGAGUGGCGAACGGGUGAGUAACACGUGAGUAACCUGCCCUUGACUUUGGGAUAACUUCAGGAAAAUGGGGCUAAUACCGGAUAGGAGCUCCUGCUGCAUGGUGGGGGUUGGAAAGUUUCGGCGGUUGGGGAUGGUCUCGCGGCUUAUCCGCUUGUUGGUGGGGUAGUGGCUUACCAAGGCUUUGACGGGUAGCCGGCCUGAGAGGUUGACCGGCCACAUUGGGACUGAGAUACGGCCCAGACUCCUACGGGAGGCAGUAGUGGGGAAUAUUGCACAAUGGGCGGAAGCCUGAUGCAGCGACGCCGCGUGCGGGAUGACGGCCUUCGGGUUGUAAACCGCUUUCGCCUGUGACGAAGCGCGAGUGACGGUAAUGAGUAAAGAAGCACCGGCUAACUACGUG
rnacentral:rRNA from 1 species